GCCAAGGACAAAAUGCAGAUCACCUCUGUGUGAAAGCAGCUUCCUGCUGUAGUCAAUUUGAUGAUACAACAUGAAAAUGCCAUUGACCGUUCCUUGGUGAAAAAAUACAUUUUUUAAAUGAAGAAACUGUCAUUUGUGGUUCAUCUAGAAAUAACUGUUCAGCCUCAGAGGAACUCCGGGCUCCUUAUGAAUUCAUCUUCCUUAUGGCUAUUUGCAGAAACAGCACUGCCUUAGAAACAAAAUAAAAUGGAUUAUAACCUGUAACAAAAAUCCAGCCAUACCUCAUUCAUAACCCUUCUCUCCUUCCUUGUCCCUUGUUAUCUAUAUUUAUUUCCACAUUUUAUCUGGAUAAAAAUGGCCACAUGCCAUAUAUAUUCAAGUCUUUAGGUAUGUUACAGGAUUCUAAACAUAAAUAAUUAUUUCAUUGUUCUCAAAAAUAUAAAUAGUGUAUUGUGUAUAAAGCUGAGAUUAAUUGUUUCCAGUUAUGUGCAACGGCAUGAUUUUUACUUUCUGGGCUGUAACUUUUGGGGUCUCUACUGUGUUUUCCUAAAAAUACCAGAUAUAUAGCUCAAAAAUUCUAGGAUGCAAGAAAUUUUCAUUAAGUAACCGGAAGAGUAUUGUUUAGGUUCUUUGGGAUGAUGUCUAAAUAAAAGGAAGGAAUGAAUGAGUUGUAACUCAUUGAACAAAAAGAAACUAUAAUGCCUUCUUAAAUUCUCUUCAGAAUUUGAACUAACUGUAAGGUUUAAUAUUUGCAAUAUGUUACAUGUGUAGUUCUCCAGCUCUGGCAUCCAUUGUGAAUUUUUAGCAUGCUCCUGGUAGGUUAGGAUUGUUUUUUGUCCUGUCCUUGGUCCACAGAAAGCAGAGUUUCAGGCUCAGGAAAUUUUUUUUUUGUGUAUCUUUCUGGGCUGUGCCCACAAGGCCACACUAAAUUGAAAUGGACAUAGAAGGAGAAUGGAUUUAUGUGGUUGGAUGCAUCCUUGGGCUCAAAGAAAGUAACAUAAGAAAUGAUAGCAACAUUCCUUUAACCCUGGUAGUAGAUCUAAGUUUUUAAAUUUUAUUCUCCUGAUGAGCUUAUCACUCCAAAUCUAGCCAAUUUAAGGUUUCCAAAGUUGUUUAUGGGACUUCAGAGUACCAGUACUUAGCUUAAUAAAAGAAUUGUCUAGAUGGCCUUAAGAUCAUUUAGAUGGUCUUUAAGGUGUGCUCAACAUUUGGAAGUGCUUAGCUUUUACCUUUAAUAUAUAUAUUUAAAAGAUGAAACUGGCAGUUUGAACACCUUUUAUUGCUGUCCACACAGCACACUCACUCUGCAGUACAUAAGUAUGUGGUUUUUGUUUAGUGUCAGACGCACCUUGGCAGCAUGUGGGGUAAAUGUUGAAAAGGGCUAGCACUGUAAUCUGCAUGCAGUGAGACUGCUCUUUUUAACACUGUUAUUGCUUUUCCUUCCUUUCUCCUGUUGGGCAUCUUGCCCCAGCUUGUGUCAAACUUACAGCAUAAGCUAUAUUCAAAGCCUGCAUAUUAGGAGGGCUGUUUCUUUAGCGGCUACUCAAUUAUUCACAUCUUCCUUUUUAAUAAACAUGUGCUAAAACUGCAAGGGACUAUGUUUUGUUUGUUUGGAUGUGCCUCUGAAACUAUAAACCCCAUGUGUAAUCAGAACUACAUUGGUGCCUUGGACUUCCCUGUUUUUGCAAAGCUGAAGGGUCAGAAUUUCACAUGGAAGAAAUGCACAAAGUGUGGAAGUUAGAUCCUCCAGAUGCAAGAAAGACUUCAAGCAGUUUCUUCAUAAAUACAUAAAAUAAAAUAAGGACUUUGGCCUUUGCAUGUUGAGAUCUGUAUAAUCAUUAACUCUUUGUCUUAGAGGAGCAGUUUUGAUUUCAGACAAUCCAGUAGGAAGGUCUACUGUGAGCAGAAAUUAAAUAAUUGAGCCCAAUAUCCAGCAGGAGUAGUGAGAACCAGAUAAAGGCUUUUCUAGUGUCAGAUGUCCCAAGUAAGAUUUUGUAGAUCCAGAUACAUGUUAUGAUCUUGACGACUGCUCAGUUUCACCUUCAGUCCUCCAGAGCUUUAAAGAUUCACAGAACCAAAAUGUGUGGGGUAUGCAAUUUUUAUUUCUUUUUACUUGUGGAAUAAACCUAAGACAUGCUCACUUUCAUGGAGUGCCUUUGCCUGGAUGGGUGUGACGUGACAUCAGGAAUGCAAACCCUGGGUGUGCUUCAGGCAGCAGAACCAAGGUGAGUUGCACAAAGAGAAAAUUGGAGUGGUGGGACAAGGGGAGAACACCCUGAGCUUUUGGCAGGAAAAAGGAUUGGUGCUGUGAGUGGCAAGGGCAUUGGGGAGAGAGGCUGUGUUUGGUUCUCAAUGCAUGAUACUCCCUGUGCUGGGACAAAAGAGUAAGGAAGGGUGUGGGUACCAGCUGUCUGCCCAGGCCUUUUGAGUCAGAGGGGAGAGAGAUGCUCUGUGGAAAGGAAGGAGAAACAUGGGGAUGGCGUGUGAACAGGAGAAAUAAGAUGAGGUAGGAUCAAGGAUAUUUAGGAGGCUGAGGUCGUAAUCAGCCCCUGGCUACAAUAAGCUGUUAUGAGAGACUCCUAGUGCACAUGAGAGGGCAUGUGGGAAGCUAGUGCAGACCAAAUCACCACAGUUGUUUCAUAAAAGCAUGUCCUGUAGAGCACAGAAUGAAAUUGAAGCCCAUCUUUCUCUUCUCUAUCUAUGUCCUCUGGGUUUUUUUACCAGAAAGCAGCUUCUCAGGUUUAGGUUGGAUAGUAUCUUAAAGGACAUAAAUGGUUCUUUAACACUAGAUAUGAUUUUAGGCAGUAUAAUAGCUAGAAGAAGAACAAUUUAUAGCACAAAGGUCGUUAGUGUUCAUUUCUUUAUUGACUAUAAAGGGAGACUAGAAUCACAAGUGUUGACAGAGUCCCACCCUAAACAAACAAUAUGCUCUAUGAACUUUUACUCUGUUCAUGCUGUUCAGCACCGCAUCUGUUUAGCUGCAUGGAUAACAGUAAUAAAAUUUUAUUGUUUUGGCUGACAGCAGCAGAGAAAACACUGGUUCCUUCCAAAAUCGUCCCAGCAUUGCUGAAGGUUUAGUCACUUGCUUGUCAAGGGCUGGUACAGGCAGGUAGGCAAACUGGAAAACCUAGUAUUGCACAGCUGAGAGUCAGAGCUCUCAUAGCUAUGCAAAUCAAUACUUCCUCUGCCUUCCCUUUCUCUGCAGCUAGGGCAGCCGACUUUAUUUGUUCUUCCAAGGAAUUCCCCUAAUUUAACAGUAUUUUGAGACCUCUCCUGUGAACACUAUCCCCACUCUUCCUUCUUUCCAGCCUCGUGUCUGAGCUACCACUGACCAUAGUUGCAGCUGAAACAAGAAGGAAAUGAGCUGGCUCCAUGCUCACUUCAGAGACAGAGGUUCUCGCAGAGGACCCUCUUCUGAGACAGAAGCAAUGAAAAGGCAGAGUUCUGCUCAGGAGCAAGAGAUUAUUGAAUUACGGGAACAUAAUGUGGAGGAAAGUGAGACUGAUCAUGACAAGUCUCUAAAUGCUCAAACGAGAAAGGAGAGAGAUGGCUGGAAAUCAUGCAGGAAUGUAGUUUUCUGGAAGUGUAAACUAUGGAUGGUUAUAUUUACAAUAUUUCUAGUGAUCUUCCUGGUCAUUCUCAUCAGCCUAAUUCUUUAUUCUAAUGUUUACACAGACGAGGAUGACUACUGGGAUCCUGAUGAAUUACUAAGCAAUGGAAAUUUUCACAAUUUUUCAGGAACGCUGGAGUUAAUGUGUGGUUUCCCACACUUCUCCUCCGAGGACAUUACUAAGAGGCUAACAGAGGUAUACAGCUCAUCUCCAGCUUUAGGACGUUACUUUAGGUCAGCUCAGGUGAUUUCUUUCAGUAAUGAAAGCUCCACCGUAAUUUAUCAGCUAGUGUUUUCUGUACCACCAUCAACAGAGGGAUUCAUGGAAAACCGUAUGAACCCAGAUUUUAUAAGGAACAUUUUACGUCAGUAUAUUUAUGAUGAAGAUACUCUUAAUCCUGGGACAUCUGAAUGUGACAGGUUAAAGCUCAACCCGACUUCUCUCACAUAGAAAUUAUGGAAAGAUUCUUCAUCUUCAUCACUACCUAGAGGAGAUGCGAUUCCCUAUCUACAAGUAAUCCCAGGGCAGGGAACUAUUCAUUAGGUAGAAAUGUUUCUAAAAUUGUUGUCCUGUAAAUACUGCCUGUGGUGCAAUACUGUAAAUGGAAAAUGUGGUAUAUAUGUGACAGUGUUGUGUUGCUAUAGCACCACUACCUCCUUCUUCUAUAUCUCAGUAAUCCGUUUCACCCUUGAGAAAAUCAUGUAUUUGAUGCAUGCUCCGUUGACUUUGAAAGUUCUGCUUUCUCUUGCCUUAUGAUUAAAUCUGAAUGUUCUGCAUGAGCUUUGAAAGCAGUCUUGCACAUGGCUCCUUUCUUUUUCUCUUGGCUUAUGCAAAAUUAUCUGUACAGCUUCAUCUUCAAUGCUCACUUCCACUCCAAUUCAUAUAUGUUAUUUUUUUCUCUCCGAAUUUCAUAUGGCACAUUUAUUUGUUGGUCUUUCCUUGUAAAACAGCCUGAAAACCUAAAUAUACAUAUAUAUAUAUAUAUAUGUGUGUGUGUGUGUAUGUAUUUGUAUUCUUUAAUUACCUGCAAUUACCUGCUAGGCCUUUGCACUAGCUUCUUAAGAAUGCUUUAGCUCUCAUAAUUUUCUUAUUCUUCCUACAACCUCCUUGGAUAAGGUGCUCUUUACUCUAUUUUUCUCUUCUUCAAUGUGAAAUACAAAAGAAGAAAGCAACAGCAUGAAGAGACAUGUCUUGUUCACUAAUGCAGCUGAAUGUCACAGGAAUAUUUUAAGGGUCGAAUUAGCAGUGUGCUUUUACAGUUAGUUAUUGCUACUAGUGAAUAGACAGAUAUUUGACCUGUUUUUGUAAAUCUGAAGACUAGUCUAUAUCCUUAAUUAUAGUUCCUGCCUAGCACUGGGAUAAAAAUGAACAGAUGUAAGGUAUUUGCCUUAAUAAGGCAGUAAAUAGUAGUUCUUUUUGAUGACAGACCAGAGGAGAUGAAUCAGUGCCAAGAAGUUGGUGCUGGAGCAGAAGACAUAGGCCAGAAUGGCACAAAAGUUACAGGCAGUGACUGGCUAUAACAUAAAAAUUAAGCAUUACCUUUAUGCAGAAUGGAACAUAUUCACUACCAUGUGAGUGAACUACAUCUUGUCAUUUAUUUAUAGUCUUAGAAAUGUUAGUACUGUUGAAUAGAACUUUUAUUUUAAAAGCAUUUUGUACUGUUAGAAAUGUAAUGAAAAAUUUUUCUUCUCUUUCUAAUAUUACUAGUUUAUUUAGGAGUAAUCUGAUUAUAUUAUUGUGCAUUAAAUUAUUUAUUUUUUACUCUCAAAGUGACUGUUUUCAUUCUGUAGCAGCUCUAGUCUUUCAACUGUGUGAGUUGGAAAAUAGUCAUCAGAAUUCUAAAUGCUGUGCUCUAUGAACCGUCUGACAGAGGUAUAUGCUCAAAUUCAUAGUUGUUGUUUUGCAUGCAUUUAAACUGAGCUUGGGAAACAUUCUGGACCAAAUUAGUAGUUUGCACCACUCUUAUAUUUGCAGCUCAUUCUGAUUCUCUCUUUGUUUGUAAAAUAUAGGAACUAUAAUUUCUCUUGCUGUAAUAAUCUAUGCAGCAUACAGGUAGAAGAGAGAUGCCUUUUGAUUCUUAUGCUGGGGAAGGAUAAACAUCAUGGUUUAUAUGGCUUGUCCCAAAAGCAGCAGGCUAUGAAAGUACCAGCAGCAAAGAAAUAAAUUGCUGUUGAGAUGCUGCUCAAUCUUAUUGCUCUCACCAAGACACCUGAUCCUUUCCUUGAACACUUCUGUAUCUUGAUUCUAGGAACUGAAAAAUAAUGUAAUGAUUAAACUUCUUUAUGGUCAUACCUAUAUAGGUAUUAAGAGUUGACAAAGGAGUCAAGCAUUCAUUUUUUUUCCCAGCCAUCCUCUUCUAUGUCUGUACUUUUACCCCAGAACCUCACAAGAAAGAAGAAGGUGGAGCUGUAUUAAGAUAUGAUAUUCAACAGAAAAUGUCUGACUUUACAGACUGCAUCCAGUCAGGUUUUGAACUCUCAUUGAAGGAAGUGUCAAAAAAAAGUAGUUUCUGGUUAUAUAUCUCUCAUUAGAGACACAGCAGUGUGAAAAUGCAUUAUUACAUCAAGUAAUAAUUAAAAAAUAAUUUAAAAGCACAUUAUUACACCACAAUAUAUUGUAUGAAUGAUCGAUAUUAAUUUUAAUAGAAGGAAUGAGGAUAACAUUUUAAUGACUUGGACAACUGAGAUAUUGUUAAAAAGCAGCUUGUGUAGUGUACAAUCAGCCCUUUAAAAUUCUAUGUCAGGUGUUAUUUGUGUGCCUACAGCAGCCAGUAUGAGUUUUGGGCAGACUCAGCUGCCUGCCACAGCAGUGACACCUGCACAUGCUGUAGUGUGUCCAUCCAGUGCUCCGUGCGCUUGCCCAUGGGACUAUCCCCAGCAUGGCAGGUGGAAAUGUAAUAAUGUAAUGUAUGGCAGGUGGAAGUCACAAAGGCACUGCACCAUAAAGCCAGGGCUGCAGCCAGCAAUCACAUACAAAGGAAGAUUUAAAACUGUUCGACAUUUUCUUCCAUACUGUUUUGUUACAAAUAAGGAGGGAGCGGAAAAACAUGCUUAAGCAAGAAUGCAGGGACAUAAUCACUUCGUGAGCUCUGGUAAACAGCUGAAUACCUGGCUUUAGUCCUUUGCAUAUGUCCAGACUGCUUGCAGAGGGGGUGCUGGGCUGUGAGGAGGUGGUACUCUAGCAUUGCAGAAGGCCAAACUGGAGACUCCAGCAGGAGCGAGCUGUGGAAGCAUUGUGUCACAGAAGCAGCACCUGGACUUCUGCCACUGAGAGGUAAUUAUCAGCAUCAGUAUCAACAGUUUUCUCAUGGGUGUAAUAUUUGUUUAGCAUGGAUUUUAUUAUUUUCGGGCUUUUUAUUUAAUUCCAACUUUAAUGCUUCAUGCUAAGUAGUACUACAUUAGAAGGGGAGGGGGGAAUUUGAGAAAUAAGUUCUUUUAAAAUAAAAAUUAUGCAUUGUAUAAUGGUACAAAUCAAGCAUGUCAGAGAAAUUUUGGACAAGAGUAAGUGCAUCUUAUGCUUUCAUUUAAAACAUGAAACAUCCUCCAAACAGAAAGACCCUGUUAUUAUUGCAUUUUUGAGAUUUAUAGCAGCAGUUCUUUAAAGCCCCUUUAAAAAAAUAAGUAUUCUAAAAGUCCAGAAAAAUGUACAGCCUUGGUUGCUUAAAAUAUUGUAGCUCCUAAUUUUCUAUGGAGGAACAUUGUCCUAUGAUGGCAGUUGCUGUCAAUGCCACGCUUAUAGAGGAUCACUUGCCACUGGCAACUAUAUACAGCUACAGACAGGACAGGACAUCUGGACUAGUGACAUGAGCUUUUUUUUUUUUUUUUUUUUUUAGCACAUCAGUCUCAGCACAUUGUUAGACAAUGGAGACAGGAUGUUAACAGCUCGCUGAUCUACAGGGAAUGCUAAGGAGGUGUAGCAUUACAGCAUAGCAUAAAAUUGUCUCAGCCUAGAGUUCAGCCAAUAAUACAUAGAGCAACACAUAUUGACAAGCAUUCUAUCUAAUCAUGUAAAACACAAGUAAUGGUGGUUAAAACAAAGACUGGUUCAUAAGAGACAAAGAACAGAGCUCUAUUCAUGCUAACCUUCUAAAGAUAUACAUUAAAUAACUUUGUUGCAAUCCAUAAGCCAGUUCUACAGAAGCCUAUUGUUAUUUGUCACAUAUGCUCUACUGCUUAGAAAACUUUUUUGCUGUAUCUGCAAUGCUAACAAAAGUUCUGUCUGAAGCCUAUUUUUUUUUAACCAUUUCCUAAAAACCCUCUAACUUUAUGAAUUACGGCAGUUGCUACUGAUUCCUCCUGGUUUAAUUGUCAAGUUCUGUACCCAGUCCAGGUUUCUUUCUCUGAUCAGCUGUUCAUGGACAGGUUUGUCUCACAGUUAAUGACUGGUAGAUGUAGCCUAAUGAGUAAGCUUGGUAACAAGAGAGGUAUUUGUUUGAAGACCCAACAGCAGAGGGAUGGUCAUUAUGUCUGCACACACUCAGGCAAAAGAAUACCUUUUAAGUUACCAGGACAUCAUCAUAUUCACCGCCUAGUGAAUAUGAUGAUGUCCUGGUAACUUAAAAGGGUUGGUGACAUUUGCCUUCCCCUCGGGCACACUGGUAAGUGCAUAUUCUGUCUGGUAAUUGCUGUCAAUCACAGAGAUUUUGUGUUUUACAUCAUGGCUGACAGUUGAGUACCACAGUUCACUGGAAUUCUUAGAAUCUUUUUUGGCAAUGUGCUCCUGAGGGGCAAAAGAGGUAAGAUAGAAAGAGCAAGGCUUCAGUAUGGUUAUAACCUGAAGAAGUUUGGAGACGUGAGCAAGUCUGGUAUAGCCUGUUGACUAAUACACUCAGUGUUAGGUUUGUAAAUCUACAGUCAUUUCCCAGCUGUCUGGGCUGUGGCUGCACACCUGGAGAGCUCAACAACCCACGGCCCUGGUGCUGACAUGGUGGAAGCUCAUCACCACAUGAGGGAGCAGAGCAGCGCCAAUGGAGCCGGGCAGCCUGCAUCAGCCCGAGCUCUGGCUCCCCCCAGGGCUGUCCCGGGAGAAAUCAUCCCUGUGGCAUAUCAUCUCUGUGACAUCUACCCAAGCAGGGAAUGGGAGCUGAUGGGCAAGAAGGGAGAGUUUCAUGGAACAUUUUAUUGAUGCAUGUGAAGGGAAAGCAUUUGGGAUUCGAAAAAGACUUAAUAUGGGGUGUUUAGGGAAGGAACUGAAGGAAGGUAAGUUAGGGUGACUUGCAGAAUAAAAAGCAUAAGAAAACAGAGGAAGAAAGGGAGGGACAGGAGUUACAGCAAGCUGCCAGAGAGACUGUAGGGUCUGGGAGGCAAUUAAGACCCCAAGUGCAUGUGUGUGUGUGGCUGUCCAGGAGAUGCACUGUCCUGGAAGGGGCCCUGGCCUCUCCAGAGAUGAAGUGAGGACUAAUCCCUUCCCCAGCAGCCCCCACCUGAUGUUGUCCUUGAGAACAGAGGGAAGAAAAAGAAAAGCCAUUAGUGAAGGAGGAGGUAAGAUUGUGUGGGCAAAUGCCUUCCCAACUCUGUUUAGACUUGUCCCUCCUUUUGCCUCCUGAAGGUGUUUGCUAAUGGGUUGUGGGUGAUUGUGCAUUAAAUAGUUAGCAGGAUGACUCAUUAAAUCUAAAGGGCCAGUGUGCACUGAUUAGGUACUUGGAGCCAGAAGUUAAAAAUUUGUUUGCCCUUAUUUUCUUGAUUUGAGUGCACUAGGUACUGAAGCCAGUGAUUAACUACUGGCUUUAUAGUGCUAUCCUCUGUUGUCUGCAGUAGUGGCAGUAUUUUGAGUGAGUGUUGCUGGGUUUGUGGUGACAUUUGUAGUUACCUUCCACACUCUGUAAGUGAAACAAAGGUCUCUGUUUCAUGGGUUAAAGGGUCAGCUUUUCUUUUUCAAGCCUAGAAGAAGGACAAUGUUAAAACAAAAUUCCUGCAGAAUUUUCCUUGAAUUUUCCAAGUUUAUGCAAAUCGUAUUGUCUGUUUAGAUUCUACUUUGCAUGGAAGAUCUCCUGAUCAUGAGAACACUUCAGUGAAAAUAAAUUCUGAUUUGAGGCUUUAUAAAGUUUCGAGAUGUAAAAAUUCCAGAAAUUUUAAGGAGCAGAACCAUCAGCAUAUACUUGCUUAUCAUUGAGUGCAUGGCUGUCUCCUCCCCAGGUCAUGAUUGCAAAGAUGGAAGGACAGCAGUAUUUCUCUUAAUCUACCUGUGAAAUGAGAACAGGUAGGCUCUUUAUUUUCAUGAGUGAGCAGCUCUCAAUCCAUUGAGUGAAGUCUGGAGCAUCUCUUGUCCCUUCAAACACAUAGGCUUAACCAAGACUUGCUCUGAGUUACAUUUUCCAGAGUCCUUCCAGUCAUCAUGUUUUGAAAGGCUGUUAUAAGCAGCCUUCUCUUAUCAGUAGCGAGGCUGAAGUGCAGAGGUGGAGUGAUUUAUCCCACACACCAAUGGAGCAAAUGUGAAAACUUCCAUUAUUCACAGGCCAAGUUUAACACUCAGAAGGGGCAUCUUUCCUGUUGCACUAACAUCCCUGCAAACACUGUUUUCAAACCAUGUUCUGUGGCUUUUCCUUGGGACACCAAAAACUCUCAAAACCAGACAGUUACUUGGCAGGUUCCCCAUUAAAGUUCCACCCCCUCCUCUUCCCCCACAGUCAAUCCCACACUCACAGGUACAAAUGAUGAGUACACUUCAUCACACCCUUUUCUGUCAUCUUGCCCACUUUCUUCAAAAUUUUCUGCUAAACACCCACUUAUCUGCUGGGCACCAACUUUUGCUUUAAUGAUGUAAUCUUGGUUAGAAAAAAAACCCCAAAAAAAACCCCAAAAAACAAAAAUGAAACCAAACCAAACCAACUCAGGCUGCUAAAUGGCAGCACUUCAUUCUGCAGUACAUAGGGUUUCUGGUGAUUGAUUGUCAUCAGGGACUCAAGAGGCAAUUUCAUUUACUCUCUGCUAAAAUGCACUGUUUAUAAAGCAGAGGCAGCAAACCACAGAUACUCAGCUCCUGCCUCUCUGAGCUCAGCAUAUUAAUACACACAAACAGCCACAAACAACACACUGGACUGUGAAGUGCAACAGAUGAGAAAUAACUGAUCCCCAACCCUGCCUUCCAGGAUGAUUAAUUUGGGUAGAGAAGCAGGGCAGACACCAAGUUAUAGAGUUACCUCUUAAAUUACUCUGAAGUGCAUGCCAGAACUCCUAAAUCUAACCCCAAAACAGGGAGGUAAAAUGAACAGUCAGCCUAUUUAUAUUACCAGUCCUUCCUGCAUUGCAAUGCAACCAUUUACUCCAUUGUUAUUUAUCAGAAACUAAAUGUGCAGUCUAAAAGGGCAUGUUUGGUUUUGUGGAGUUGUUUUUUUUCUUUUUUUUUUUCCUUCUAGACGCCGUGAGACACUGGAAGGGGAAACCUUAUUCUUUUCCAACAGAGGCUUGGCCAUUUGUUGAUACAUCUGCCAUUUUUUAUAGUGCAAAUAUUAACCAAAAUCUUUUAAGCCUCAAAGUAUUAAUUCUCCCUUUGUUUUUCAGCCGAAAAUUUCUUUAUUACUGAACCUGGUUGGCAAUAAUUCAUUUAAAUGACUUUUAGAAAAUGUCAUGACGAAACUGAAACUGUUUCAGGAAACAUGCCAGUAGUCAAGAGACUGGCUACCAAAAAGCUGAGUAGAGAACGGAAGGAGAAGGAGAGAGAAGAACCUCUACAGCCGUAAGUUGUGCAGUGGUUUAGGACAUUCACUGAGACAACAUCACAAGGUUCAGACUCCUGAAUUGUCUGAUUUGGGCCAGACAACAUUACACUCAGCCUCAGAAAUUAUGAGUGUGUACUGCAGUCUGUUUGGCCACUGGCUGCUCAAGAGUGGGGCUGCAUCUCAGCUUUUUGUACAUACACUUAUUUUGUACCUAGGCUUUAACUGGUGUUCUUCUCCAUCCUAAGCAAACUGUCUGAUUAUGGGCUUUUCUUUCUUCUGCAGGAACAUGACGAACACUUUGGAUUUCUAAUAUAUGGAUGUUUUGGACCCAGUUGCCCCAGAGAGUGAGGUUGGAGGGAGGGAAAAUCAGUUUUAUUCUUUACCUUGAUGGUCUCCGGUGGAUAGCUGCAGGUCUGUGCUGAGGAAAGAGGAAGAAAACACAUGUGAUUGUCCUUCUCUGGUGUAGCAACACUAGACAAAGAUUUUCAUCAGCACAGAAUUUACUCAGUCACAGACUGAACACAGGCUGUGCAGAAGCAUAAACUUGUGUGACAAUAGUAGGCAAAAGGGUUGAACCUCUGAGAACUAAAUAAAUCUGAUGGCUUUUUGAGAUUUAUCUUGUUUCUAGUUUAUACACAGUUGUGUCACACAACACUGCUCACUGGCUGAAUUAAACCUAGAUGUGCAAUCUUCUUGUUUUUCUUUUUGUUUUGUUUUUGUUUCAUUUGAUUAACUGAAAUCAGUUUUACGUGUCUGUCUUAGAAAUGAAAGCUUGCUUUCUGACUGUGUUUUAGCUUUAUGAUCCAUGCAGCCUUAAUUCUGCCUGGGAUCACUGUCUGGGUACUGGGGCACAGAGGCACUGCCUGAUGUGCCACAUGCACUGGGUGUCUGUGUGCACAGGUUUGGAAGUCUGCAGCUUUUUUGGAAAUUUGUCUCUCUGUCCCAUAAAAAUCUAAGUGGCAGAGGUCUAUCAUUUUACAUCCUGCUUUCUCCUAACCUUGUCUUUGUCAGUCUGGCUGAUUCAUAAUAUGAGGCGGAUUGAACACGUUACUUCUGUAAAAUUCCAGAGCUGAACUUUCACUUUUGCUUAAGAUAACAGGGCUUUUUAAGCCUACUAUUUUGCAACCUGAAAGGAAAGACGUCAGACUCUUAACAUUACAUUAAAGCUGUCAUCUUAGAGAA